rnacentral:lncRNA from 1 species
AGAAGAUCAAACUUAAAGUCACAGCAAGUAGGUGGCAGAGUGAAGAGCAGAUCCAGCAGAUUCUCUGAACUCUCGGACUGAGGAUCUCAUUAAUACAACCUCUCGUGGAAGACACAUUAGAUAUACUGUUCCUUGCGUGUAGAAUAUACAUGAAUUCAUUGUGCAUGGAGUUUGCAUUUUCCCAUUUGAUUCUCAUACCAGCCCUGUAAACAGGUCUUAGCUCAAAAAAUUAUGAGACUAGCUCCAGUUUCUCUCUAACCAGAGGGUAAUUUUUUUGUGGUCAAGGGCCAUCUUUGUGUCUCCAGGGUCCGGAAAAGAAAUGAACUGAAGAAUUUAUGACAGAGCUGCAGAAAAACCUCAAAAGCUUUCCUCAGUUCUGUGCUUUUUAAAAAGAAUUAAUAGCAAUCAGUUUCUUUUAGAUAAAGCAAGUCAGCUGGGACUACA